rnacentral:tRNA from 1 species
GCCCCCGUAGCUCAGCUGGAUAGAGCAGCGGCCUUCUAAGCCGUUGGUCGGCCGUUCGAAUCGGCCCGGGGGUG